rfam:Sugiyamaella lignohabitans strain CBS 10342 mitochondrion genome.
AUCAAUCUGGUGGAAUGGUAGACACGACUCACUUAAAAUGAGUUGCAAUAUAGCAUAAAGGUUCAAGUCCUUUGAUUGAUA